UACGUAGGGUGCGAGCGUUGUCCGGAAUUAUUGGGCGUAAAGGGCUCGUAGGCGGUCUGUCGCGUCGGGAGUGAAAACUCAGGGCUUAACCCUGAGCCUGCUUCCGAUACGGGCAGACUAGAGGUAUGCAGGGGAGAACGGAAUUCCUGGUGUAGCGGUGAAAUGCGCAGAUAUCAGGAGGAACACCAGUAGCGAAGGCGGCACUCUGGGCCGGUACUGACGCUGAGGAGCGAAAGCGUGGGGAGCAAACAGG
rnacentral:rRNA from 1 species